rnacentral:rRNA from 1 species
AGCCUUGACAUGCAGAGAACUUCCAGAGAUGGAUUGUGCCUUCGGGAACUCUGACACAGGUGCUGCAUGGCUGUCGUCAGCUCGUGUCGUGAGAUGGUUGGGUUAAGUCCCGUAACGAGCGCAACCCUUGUCCUUAGUUACCAGCACGUUAUGGUGGGCACUCUAAGGAGACUGCCGGUGACAAACCGGAGGAAGGUGGGGAUGACGUCAAGUCAUCAUGGCCCUUACGGCCUGGGCUACACACGUGCUACAAUGGUCGGUACAAAGGGUUGCCAAGCCGCGAGGUGGAGCUAAUACCCAUAAAACCGAUCGUAGUCCGGAUCGCAGUCUGCAACUCGACUGCGUGAAGUCGGAAUCGCUAGUAAUCGUGAAUCAGAAUGUCACGGUGAAUACGUUCCCGGGCCUU